rnacentral:snoRNA from 10 species
UGGACCAAUCAUAUUAGUUUGUUAUGAACCUACAAUUAUGUUUUAUCCAGUUCUGUGAAUCUGAGGUGCAAA